GUGGGGAAUCUUGCGCAAUGGGCGAAAGCCUGACGCAGCCAUGCCGCGUGAAUGAUGAAGGUCUUAGGAUUGUAAAAUUCUUUCACCGGGGACGAUAAUGACGGUACCCGGAGAAGAAGCUCCGGCUAACUUCGUGCCAGCAGCCGCGGUAAUACGAAGGGGGCUAGCGUUGCUCGGAAUUACUGGGCGUAAAGGGCGCGUAGGCGGACAGCUUAGUCAGAGGUGAAAGCCCAGGGCUCAACCUUGGAAUUGCCUUUGAUACUGGCUGUCUUGAGUUUGGGAGAGGUGAGUGGAACUCCGAGUGUAGAGGUGAAAUUCGUAGAUAUUCGGAAGAACACCAGUGGCGAAGGCGACUACCUGGACUGAUACUGACACUGAGGUGCGAAAGCGUGGGGAGCAAACAGGAUUAGAUACCCGGGUAGUCC
rnacentral:rRNA from 1 species